UACGAAGGGGGCUAGCGUUGCUCGGAAUGACUGGGCGUAAAGGGCGCGUAGGCGGCUCAUCCAGUCAGGCGUGAAAUUCCUGGGCUCAACCUGGGGACUGCGCUUGAGACGGGUGGGCUUGAGUGGGGAAGAGGGUCGUGGAAUUCCCAGUGUAGAGGUGAAAUUCGUAGAUAUUGGGAAGAACACCGGUGGCGAAGGCGGCGACCUGGUCCUUGACUGACGCUGAGGCGCGAAAGCGUGGGGAGCAAACAGG
rnacentral:rRNA from 1 species